AGCGAACGCUGGCGGCAGGCCUAACACAUGCAAGUCGAGCGGCCGUAGCAAUACGGCAGCGGCAGACGGGAGAGUAACACGUGGGAACGCGCCCUUCGGUUCGGGAUAACUCAGGGAAACUUGGGCUAAUACCGGAUACGCCCUUACGGGGAAAGAUUUAUUGCCGAAGGAACGGCCCGCGUCCGAUUAGCUUGUUGGUGAGGUAACGGCUCACCAAGGCGACGAUCGGUAGCUGGUCUGAGAGGAUGACCAGCCUCACUGGGACUGAGACACGGCCCAGACUCCUACGGGAGGCAGCAGUGGGGAAUAUUGGACAAUGGGCGAAAGCCUGAUCCAGCCAUGCCGCGUGAGUGACGAAGGCCUUAGGGUUGUAAAGCUCUUUUGCCGGGGACGAUAAUGACGGUACCCGGAGAAUAAGUCCCGGCUAACUUCGUGCCAGCCGCCGCAGUAA
rnacentral:rRNA from 1 species